rnacentral:lncRNA from 13 species
CCAGCUGCCUGAAAGGACCGUGUGUAAUUUAAAGAAGUCUAGACAGCCAUGAAAGGAGUUCCUCACCGAGGACAUAAAACUAGAUUUCAGCCUUCCCUCCAAACCCUGAAUCAUCCGAGUAUGCAAUGGAAUAUACCCCUGGACAAACAAAAGGAAGGCAGAUUCAACAAAGACUGAGCAAGAAUGAGAGAUACACGUGUCUUCAAACAUGCUGUUGAGAAACAACACAGGAGGAAAAUUCAGAGGCGGUUCCGGGGAAGGGGUUGCUAUAUUUCAGCACAAGACAAAUAUCUACGAAACGAACUAAAUUCCCAAGCCUGAAUUUCCUGAUAGUCAGCAUGGACCUGGAGAAGAGGAGCCAGUGCCAGCCCAGGGAC